rnacentral:lncRNA from 1 species
CUGAGUGUAAGCUAAUGUCUUCAGAUACCCUAGACUCUCCCAUAUCUCAUUACAGGCAGACUUCACAGAGUCACCUCUUUCCAUCUGUUACCCCAUUGCAGAACUUGUUGAGACACCCCUGAGAGGAGGUCUCCAUUGAGAGCAGUACCUAUGUCUUCCGCCUCUUGAAUUUUCUUGAUCCCUGCUCACAGGCCCACUGAUGAAUGGACUUGCCAUACCUGAGUUGCUAAGCUAUGAGGUUCCUGAAGACACUUCUGCUAUUGAGAGGCCAAUCAAACUGGUGAUACUCAACAGACAGAACUUUCAACAGGUACACAUCACAGGUAUUGCCCCCCACAUUUCCAGAUCAACUGUGGUAAGUAUUAUCUAUUUUGUUCCUUGUGCUUCUAAAAUGCCCUAUUACUAACUGACC